UGGCGCCUCCGCCUGCGUCUGCAUCCACGUCCCACAUAACCGCCCUGGCUCCGACUCCUUUUCUUUGUAAACUAAAGAAAAAAGUAUAGCUGUAGUUGUACUCAUUCAAACCUGGACUCACCUUUUCCUUCACCCAAUUUUGCUCCUACCCUGGCUUCUUCCUCCUUCUGGGCUCCCUACCCCAGGAAGGGGAUCUCCAACCAUCCUGUUGCUAAAGCCAGAAAGCUGGAAGUCAUUCCUCCUCCCUACCUCUGCAUCAAGUCAUCAUGACUCUACCUGAAGACUUUACAUGUUUUUAUAUUUGUGUUUAUUUUUCUCCCUCUCCAUUUCUUCUAUUUAGGCCUCAUCAUUUCUGAUCUCAUCGCUCACCAUAAAAACCUGCUAAGAAUCCAACCUUCGCAUUAGCACCCAAGUGAUUAUUGUGAAAUUUAAAUGUAAUCAAAUCAGCUCUAAAACAAGGGUUACUGUGAGGAUAACAAUAUGGCAACGUUUGUAGAGUGUUUAGCGCAGUGCCUGGCAGGUCCUCACAAAAGAAAGAACAGAUGAGGAAAGAGAAAAGAAACAAAAAGUCAGCUGUCACAGGUUAUAUCACCCCAUCCCUAAAAUCCUCCAGUGUCUCUCAAGAGCCUUCAAAACAAAAUUCAAACUUUUUAGCAUAAUGCCCAAGCCCUUAUUACUUUGCUCCUGCCAGGCCUCCAGCCAUCUCCAGCUACCUCUAUGAACACUUACGGCCAUGUGGUUAUUGAGUUAUUGGCCAGGCGUGGUGGCUCACGCCUGUAAUCCCAGCACUUUGGGAGGCCGAGGCGGGCAGAUCACCUGAGGUUGGGAGUUCAAGACAGCCUGGCCAACAUGGAGAAACCCUGUCUCUACUAAAAAAUACAAAAUUAGCCAGGCGUGGUGGAACAUGCCUGUAAUCCCAGCUACUUGGGAAGCUGAGGCAGGAGAAUCGCUUGAACCUGGGAGGCGGAGGCUGCAGUGAGCCGAGAUGGCUCCAUUGCACUCCAGCCUGGGCAAAAAGAGAGAAACUCUGUCUCAAAAAAAAAAAAAAAGAAAGUAUGAAAUAUCCCACUGAAAUAAAAUAUAAUGGUAAGAAAAGAGGCCAUCCAUGACAGCAACAACAAAAAAUGCCUAGUAACACAUUUAAGAAGAAAUGAUGAAGACCUAGUUUAAAAAAUGAAGAAAAUAAAUAUACAGUUAUAUGUUCAUGAGUAGGAAGAUUCGACAUUUUAAAUGUGUUAAUUCUCUCCAAACUGAUAUAUAAAAUCACUGUAAUCACAAUAAAACUCACAAUGGGAUUUGGGGGGAAUCUGCCAGAAAUAUUCCUAAGUUCCUCUGGAAGAAUAAACAUAUUAAAAAAAAUACAAGGAAUAUUCUAAAAAGCAAGAACAAUGAAGGGAAGUAGUACCAUGUAUUUCAGUGGAAAUUAAGUAUACAUUAAAAGUGGUGGCCAGGUGUGGUGGCUCACGCCUAUAAUACCAGCACUUUGGGACACCAAGGCAGGACAACUGCUUGAGCCCAGGAGUUCAAGAACAGCCUGGGCAACAUAGGAAGACCCUAUCUCUGCACAUACAAAAAAAAGGUUGGGGGGCGGAUUUCACAUUAGUCAGGAAAAAUAAGAUUAGUGUUAGACAAACUAGUUUGCCAUUUGGAGAAAAAUAAAGAUCAGUUACUUACAAAUAAUCCUCAGUCCUUACACCAAAAUAACUUUCAGAUGGAAUAAAAAAUUUAAGUUUAAAAUGGAACAAUGAUUCCAGAUGCAGUGGCAGAUUAGUUAUUUAUCCUGGCAUAGUAAGAUGACAAAGUGAAAAGGGCAAGCUGUAAACAGCUUGUAUAAUGAUCCCAUUUCUGUACAAACGAAGACCACAUACAAAGUUAUUGCCAGUUUUUUUAUUUUAUUUUACGUAAGAAUGCUUCUUAAAAGUGUUAACUUUUUUGUUAGUUUCGUUUUUAGACAGGGUAUUGCUCUGUCGUCCAGGCUGAGGUUCAGUGGUGCAAUCACCACUCACUGCAGCCUUGACCUCCCAGGUCCAUCCUCCUGCCUCAGCCUCCCAAGUAGCUGGGAGUACAGGCCCACACCACCACACUAACUCUAAUUUUUGUAGAAACGAGGUCUUAUUAUGUUGCUCAGGCUGGUCUCAAACUCCGGGACUCAAGGGAUCCGCCUGCCUUGGCCUCCCAAAGUGCUGGGAUUACAGGCUUGAGCCACCAUGCACCCCCUACUCUUCCUUUAUUAGCAUUUAACACUCAACUGUUUGUUUCUGGUUCCCUAUGUUGUGAGCUCCUUGAAGGCAGGGACCACGACUUAUGUGAUUUUUUUUUUUUUCUGAGACUCGACAGAGUCUUGCUCUGUCAACCAGGCUGGAGUAUAGCGGCACCAUCUCUGCUCACUGCAACCUCCGCCUCCCAGGUUCAAGCGAUUCUCCUGCCACAGCCUCCUGAGAAGGUGGGACUACAGGCACGUGCCACCAUACCUGGCUAAUUGUUUCUAUUUUUAGUAGAGAAGGGUUUCACCAAGUUGGCCAGGCUGGUCUAGAACUCCGGAUCUCAGGUGAUCCGCCACCUUGGCCUCCCAAAGUGCUGGGAUUACAGGUGUGAGGCACGGCGCCCGGCCUGACUUACGUGAUUUUUGUAUUACAAAGCCCUAGUACACUGCCUGGUAAUAUUAGACGUUUAUUAACGGUUGGUUUAAACAAAAAACUUUAUACCAGAGGUGAUACUUGAGAAGGCAACACCUAAGAUUGAAAAAAAUCAGGUGUCUGUCAGCCAAUGCAAAAGCAUACAAAGGUGAAAAGGCGUAUAUGGGAAACUGCGGAUAGUUCUGUGACUGGAAUGCACAGUUAAAAUUAAUGAAAGAGAAAAGGCUGAAGAGGCAGCAUGAGGAUGCUUCCAAGGAUAAAGUUCAAAAUUCUUAGCGUAGCAUAUAUACCAACAGACAAAGGCAUGCCCUAACUAGCUUUGAAGCCUCACCUCCGGCUAUUCUAGCUCCCUUAGCUAUGGCUAUAUCCAAUUAGUUGCAAUUUCCUAAAAACAUCAUAUUCUUCCACACCUUAGUAUAGCCUUCCCCUGUGCUUUGUCCACUGCUCUCCUCCCAUUUUCAAAACUCAGCUCAAUUGCCACUUUCCCAAAGAAAUUCUCUCUGAUCUAUCAGGUUAAUAUAGGAGGCUCUCCCCUACUGACUUCUACCUCAUGGUUUCUCUGGCAGUCUGUUGACUUGUUUGGCUUCUCACUAAAGUCUAACUGGGGCUUUUCAACUCUGCAUCUCCAGUUCUGUUUUUGUUUUAAAUCGAGACGGGGUUUCACCAUGUUGCUUGGGCUGGUAUCAAACUUCUGAGCUCACGCAAUCAGCCCACGCUGGCGUCCCAAAGUGCUGGGAUUACACACGUGAGCCACCGAGCGUGGCAAACUCCAUCUUUCUUGGUGCUAGAUACUGACAUACCUGCUGUGUCCCUGGAUAAAGAAGCGGACCCCAAUUCCCAUUAAGCCCCCGUGGUACCAUUUUCAAGUCCGAGGUCUUACGUUGCAGAUUGUACAUCCAGGUUCCCUGACCCGUAGGAUUUAAAAGUGAGGUCAAAUAAUUAAACAAAUUGUUUUAGUCAGACACUCUUGCGGCUACUCUGUAGCCAAACUGGGUGAAAACCUGACCAGAGGAGUCCACGGCCCUCUGUACAUCAAAGACGGUCCAAACGUCUCACUGUUUAGCUCAGUCCCAGACACACUGAGCUCAAUCUGCACGAAUCAGCGAGGUCCAGGGCAGAUAACAUGUGUCUAGGGGCCUGGACUUGCACAAAAAGCCUUAACAACUUCACAAUUUGAUUAAUUAUGCCGCCUUGGACCACGCGUGAAAAACAGCAAGACCCAAGGCCUAUGCUAUUGGUCUGGGGACUAGACCCACCUGGCUCAAGCAUUUUUUGCUCGCCACGUUCCCAAAAAGAGAAGAGGCGCCCGUAAGAGGGGGGGGGGGGGGGGCAAGACUGUU
rnacentral:lncRNA from 1 species